CUGAUGUAUCCUACACGGCCUCAGGUAUCCCAAGAUUCAUUGCGCGCCCAGAGAAAAAGAUUCUGACGAAAAAUACCGCACCUCGACCCAGCAGUAGCGGCAAAUGGAUAUACUUUUAAAUCGGCGGCUAACACAGCCCCUUCAGCUUCACAUGCCCUCUCACAGCAACAACUACCAACACUGACAUCCAGUUAGCUCUAUGCUAAGUCCUACUCAACAACCACAAACUUCCAUGCGUCAUUCACCUUCUGGAUGACUUCCUCACCGUCACACCAUCAUCCUCACCACCAUUGUAGGGUCUCACCACCUUCAAGUGCGACUUCCACAUUCCCCUUCCCCCCAAGAAGACAGGAGGACACAGUGCAUCCAUUGAAUUCCUCGGCAUCACCCUAGAUUCUCUUAUCUUGCCAGCCUGCCUCCUGACCGAGAAACUCCACCACAUCUCAACGUACAUUUCAAACUACCUCUGUGCCCUCCGAUGUACAAAGCGCCAGCUUCUCUCACUGUUCGGUUACCUGAACUUUGCCAUCUGUGUCCUCCUUCAAGGUCGAUGAAGCACGAAGCUCAUCAAGACGUACACCCAGUCUGAGUCUCGACCCCGGGUUCCAGAUGCUCCAGCCACACCACAACCCUUUUCUGCCUCGUUUAUCGCCCUCAGACCGACCUUUUUCAUCCCUCUCCUCGACCACUAUCAUCCCACCGAACACGAUCCUCACCCCAUCAUCUCAAGAAUACCACCCUUACCCAACCUUUCCUGAAUCCUCUAGCCAUUCAGAAUAAACUACUUUAUAUGGUACAAAUGCCGCGGUCUUUGUUAGUGAACUCACAAGUUUAUGAUUACAGUUGAUGUGCCUGUCAAGAAGAUAACAGAUGUUAAACAGAAUAGUGUAGAUUAUUUUGUUUGUAGGCCUACCUUUUAAAUAAAACACAGUAGAUUUCCACAAUAAGGAGACUGAUAUCAAAAAGAAAAUAUUGGAUUAACCUGCAAAGCUGUUUUGGUUAACGAUUUUACUGACAUUAUAAGUUUUUGUAAGUUAAUAAUAAUUAAAAUGACAACAUUAUAUAUA